rnacentral:tRNA from 1 species
GGAACUGUAGCUCAGUGGUAGAGUGCUUGUGUGGUAUGCAUGAGGCCCUGGGUUCAAUCCUACCACUACCA